GAAAUUGGUAGACGCACCAGAUUUAGGUUCUGGCGCCGCGAGGCGUAAGAGUUCAAGUCUCUUCUUCCGCACCA
rnacentral:tRNA from 1 species